rnacentral:rRNA from 1 species
GAUGAACGCUGGCGGCGUGCCUAAUACAUGCAAGUCGAACGCUGAAGGAAGGAGCUUGCUCUUUCCGGAUGAGUUGCGAACGGGUGAGUAACGCGUAGGUAACCUGCCUGGUAGCGGGGGAUAACUAUUGGAAACGAUAGCUAAUACCGCAUAACAGUAGAUAUUGCAUGAUAUCUGCUUGAAAGGGGCAAUUGCUCCACUACCAGAUGGACCUGCGUUGUAUUAGCUAGUUGGUGAGGUAACGGCUCACCAAGGCGACGAUACAUAGCCGACCUGAGAGGGUGAUCGGCCACACUGGGACUGAGACACGGCCCAGACUCCUACGGGAGGCAGCAGUAGGGAAUCUUCGGCAAUGGACGGAAGUCUGACCGAGCAACGCCGCGUGAGUGAAGAAGGUUUUCGGAUCGUAAAGCUCUGUUGUAAGAGAAGAACGAGUGUGAGAGUGGAAAGUUCACACUGUGACGGUAUCUUACCAGAAAGGGACGGCUAACUACGU